AGGAUGAACGCUGGCGGUACGUCUGACACAUGCAAGUCGAGCGGCAAGGUGGCUUCGGCCACCCUAGAGCGGCGAACGGCUGAGUAACACGUAGGAACCUACCCCUUAGUUCGGGAUAACAGACCGAAAGGUCUGCUAAUACCGGAUAAUAUCGAAAGAUUGAAAGGUUUACCACUGAGGGAGGGCCUGCGGCGUAUUAGCUUGUUGGUGGGGUAAUGGCUCACCAAGGCGAUGAUGCGUAGCUGGUCUGAGAGGAUGAUCGAGCCAGACUGGGACUGAGACA
rnacentral:rRNA from 1 species